AUGGUUUUUCAGGUGCAGAUUUUCAGCUUCCUGCUCAUCUGUGUCACAGUGUCCAGUGCAAAAAUUGUGCUCACCCAGUCUCCAGCAUCCAUGGCUGCAUCUCAAGGGAAGAAAGUCACUAUGACCUGUAGUGCCAGCUCAAGUAUGAGCUCCAGUUACUUGAACUGGUACCAGAAGAAGCCAGGAGCCUCUCCCAAACUCCUGAUUUAUAGAACAUCCAGCCUGGCUUCUGGAGUCCCAGCUCGCUUCAGUGGCAGUGGGUCUGGGACCUCUUACUCUCUCACAAUCAGCAGCAUGGAAGCUGAAGAUGCUGCCACAUAUUACUGUCAGUAUUGGAGUGGUGAACAAGUCUCACAGUGA